GACGAACGCUGGCGGCGUGCCUAAUACAUGCAAGUCGUGCGGACCUUGUUGAAAGCUUGCUUUUAAAAGGUUAGCGGCGGACGGGUGAGUAACACGUGGGCAACCUGCCUGUAAGACUGGGAUAACGCCGGGAAACCGGGGCUAAUACCAGAUCGUUUUCUCCUCCGCAUGGAGGAAAAAGGAAAGGCGGCUUCGGCUGCCACUUACAGAUGGGCCCGCGGCGCAUUAGCUAGUUGGCGGGGUAAUGGCCCACCAAGGCAACGAUGCGUAGCCGACCUGAGAGGGUGAUCGGCCACAUUGGGACUGAGACACGGCCCAAACUCCUACGGGAGGCAGCAGUAGGGAAUCUUCCGCAAUGGACGAAAGUCUGACGGAGCAACGCCGCGUGAGUGAAGAAGGCCUUCGGGUCGUAAAACUCUGUUGCCGGGGAAGAACAAGUGCCGUUCGAACAGGGCGGCGCCUUGAAGGUACCCGGCCAGAAAGCCACGGCUAACUACGUG
rnacentral:rRNA from 1 species